UAGAGUAUGGCUCAGUGGUAGAGCACUUGCCUGGCAUGCAUGAGGCCCUGGGUUUGAUCCCCAGUAUUGCAA
rnacentral:tRNA from 1 species